GGACAACAGGUAGAGAUUCCUGUACCAGUGCUAAUUGUUUAACCGAUGGGGUGACACAGAAGGAUAGGGAAUCGCACGAAUGGAAAUGUGCGUCCAAGCAGUGAGUGUGAGAAGUAGGCAAAUCCGCUUCUCGCGAAGCAUGAGCUGUGAUGGGGAAGGAAAUUAAGUACGGAAGUUCCUGAUUUCACGCUGUCAAGAAAAGCCUCUAGGAAGAGUAGUACUGCCCGUACCGCAAACCGACACAGGUAGAUGAGGAGAGAAUCCUAAGGUGAGCGAGAGAACUCUCGUUAAGGAACUCGGCAAAAUGACCCCGUAACUUCGGGAGAAGGGGUGCUCUAUUAGGGUGCAAGCCCGAGAGAGCCGCAGUGAAUAGGCCCAGGCGACUGUUUAGCAAAAACACAGGUCUCUGCAAAACCGUAAGGUGACGUAUAGGGGCUGACGCCUGCCCGGUGCUGGAAGGUUAAGAGGAGUGCUUAGCUUCGGCGAAGGUACGAAUUGAAGCCCCAGUAAACGGCGGCCGUAACUAUAACGGUCCUAAGGUAGCGAAAUUCCUUGUCGGGUAAGUUCCGACCCGCACGAAAGGCGCAACGAUCUGGGCACUGUCUCAACGAGAGACUCGGUGAAAUUAUAG
rnacentral:rRNA from 1 species